CCUGGAUGUGCCUCCUGCACUCCCUCAGCCCCUCUGCCAGCAGGGGGUGUGUGUGUGUAUCCCAGGUGAGGUUACCUGUCUCAGGUGUAUCCCAGGUGUGUCCCAGGUGAGGUUACCUGUCUCAGGUGUAUCCCAGGUGAGGUUACCUGUCUCAGGUGUAUCCCAGGUGUGUCCCAGGUGAGGUUACCUGUCUCAGGUGUAUCCCAGGUGAGGUUACCUGUCCCAGGUGAGGUUACCUGGAUGUGCCUCCUGCACUCCCCCAGCCCCUCCGCCAGCAGGGGGUGUGUGUGUGUAACCCAGGUGUGGUUACCUG